GGGCGCGUGGCGCAAUCGGUUAGCGCGCCGGCCUGUCACGCCGGAGGUUGCGGGUUCGAGUCCCGUCAGCCUCG
rnacentral:tRNA from 1 species